GGGAAAUGUGGUCUCCAUCAUCUUUCUAAGGAGGGGCAGGUUCUUCUCAGUCUUCUUCAACAAUUUUUGCAAGCAAAUACAAAGUUAAGUAAAAUAUGAUCUAUGGUAUUUGUGAACAGAACACAUUCAUGAAUUGUUGACUUGAAUACGGCAAAAAGCUUUAUUUUGAUCAAACAGGCAAGUAGAAUAAACAAUGAUAUGUGUAUGUGGGAGUGCGUAUGAUUUAGGGUUACCACACUAAAAGAUUGUCUGAG